CUACGGGACGCAGCAGUGGGGAAUAUUGCACAAUGGAGGAAACUCUGAUGCAGCAACGCCUCGUGGAGGAUGACACUUUUCGGAGCGUAAACUCCUUUUAUAUAGGAAGAAGAUGACGGUACUAUAUGAAUAAGCGCCGGCUAACUCCGUGCCAGCAGCCGCGGUAAUACGGAGGGCGCAAGCGUUACUCGGAAUCACUGGGCGUAAAGAGCGUGUAGGCGGAAUAAAAAGUCAGAAGUGAAAUCCUAUAGCUUAACUAUAGAACUGCUUCUGAAACUCUUAAUCUAGAAUAUGGGAGAGGUAGAUGGAAUUUCUGGUGUAGGGGUAAAAUCCGUAGAGAUCAGAAGGAAUACCGAUUGCGAAGGCGAUCUACUAGAACAUUAUUGACGCUGAGACGCGAAAGCGUGGGGAGCAAACAGGAUUAGAUACCCUCGUAGUC
rnacentral:rRNA from 1 species